UGGGGCCGUAUGCAUAAGACAUCUUAACUUAAGUAUUCCUUAAACUUAGAUUUCACUAAGAAUUUCCUUAGUUAAGUAAAAUUCUUAAGCGGUAUGCAUAAACUUACUUAAGUCUUCACUUAACUAAGGAAUACUUAAAUCGGAACCUUUCUCUAAUUACCGUAUGAUACUAGCUCAUCACGUGUACGUGUAAAAGUUUGUUAUGAUUAUCUAAAUUUAUUGAUCAAUGCAUGUUCUUAUUUUAAAGAGCUGGGUUAAAUUGAUAUUGGUAUGUAAAACAAUUCAAAAGAACGUAUAAACAUAGUAUAAACGAUGAACAAUAGGCGCA
rnacentral:lncRNA from 1 species